AAUGUUACCUUGUUAUAUGAUUGGAUUGUGCCACAUUGUUGAAUUUUUCAUGUGUUUUCCCAGGCUUGCUCCUGCAGUGGUAGUGGAGUGAGGAGCCAGAAAAGGGACCAGGGGCUGGGGUGCAGAAGAAGGUGAUGUAAAUACCUGUGCCAACCUGAAGCAGCCCCUUCAGUUCUAAGUUUAUAAUCCUUCAGCUGGGCAAGAUGUUGAAGAUCCACUUGUUUCAAGAACACUCUUGUAUCCUUGCCAGAAUAGCACGUUCUUUACCCUGCGCCUCUGAAGUGCUUUGGAAACUGAUGAAGAGGUGUGAGUUUGGAUAGCUUCUCACCUGGUGCUAGCACCUGAAGUUCACAGACAGUUGGGCAAAGAAGAUGGAUAGGAAACAGAGGAAGCAAAGACAAGCUGAGUGAAGGAGAAACUGGUACCUUCCAUCAUGGAGCUAAAUAUGCAUCUGCUCCAGAAUUCAGGGAAGUUGAUCCAGCAGGAGGAUCUGGCAGGAGCCCAGCUGCUGCCUCUCACCAACAAGGAUAUUAAUUUUAAGUACCUGUGAAAUGAAGUUCUUAUAAGCUAAGAUGCCCCAAAACUCCGUUUAUCGCCAAGGUUGUAGAGGAAUCA
rnacentral:lncRNA from 13 species